AAACGCAGAAGAAAAUUUUGCAUUAGCUGCAUAAGCUACGUCCCUCAUACUUGUGCCUACCAAGUGUGAAUGGACGUCAAACCGUAGGCUGGCUUAAUUCAGUUGUUCAUAUGAAUUAGGCGAGACAACAUGAACUGGGGUUGUGUAGCUUGUCUGUGAGCGGUAGCAACCUGAGAUCUUAAUCAUAGACUGUGCUCGGAGAAGUCUAUAUGGCAACACUUUUGGACAGGGGUUCGACUCCCCUCAUCUCCACCA
rnacentral:tmRNA from 1 species